rnacentral:rRNA from 1 species
UGGUCACUCUUGUGAUGCAAAUCUCAAGAGAGUCCCCAUGGAAGGUCAUCAAUAAACUCAUGUAUCCAAUGUCUUCUGUCUGAACUGUUUAUAACAAAUGUUAAAACUUUCAACAACGGAUCUCUUGGUUCUCGCAUCGAUGAAGAACGCAGCGAAAUGCGAUAAGUAGUGUGAAUUGCAGAAUUCAGUGAAUCAUCGAAUCUUUGAACGCACAUUGCGCCUCCUGGUAUUCCGGGAGGCAUGCCUGUUCGAGCGUCAUUAAAUACCUCUCAAGCACUAUUGCUUGGUCAUGGAAGAUGAGUAUGCUUGCAUUCUCCCUUCUGAAAUUCAAAGGCGGAUGAUCUCAUAUUCCCCGGCGUAGUAAGUGUUUAUCUUUCNCUUGNANUGUGUGACAGUCUUGCCAUCGACCCCCAUC